rnacentral:tRNA from 1 species
UCUUCGAUGGUCUAGUGGUCAUGAUUUCCGCUUGUCAAGUUCCUCUUCGGAAGUAACAAGCGCGGGAGACCGGGGUUCGAUUCCCCGUCGGAGAG